GACGAACGCUGGCGGCGUGCUUAAUACAUGCAAGUCGAACGGAAAGACCCUGCUCUUGUGGGGCGCUCGAGUGGCGAACGGGUGAGUAUAACGCGUGUAACCUGCCCUUGACUUUGGGAUAUAUUUAGGAAACUGGGGCUAUUACCGGAUAGGAGCUCCUGCUCCAUGGUGUGGGUUGGAGAGUUGCGGCGGUUGGGGAUGGUAUCGCAGCUUCUCAGCUUGUUGGUGGGGUAGUGGCUUUCCAAGGCUUUGACGGGUAGCCGGCCUGAGAGGGGGACCGGCCACAUUGGGACUGAGGUACGGCGCAGACUCGUACGGGAGGCAGCAGGGGAGAAUAUUGCACAAUAGGCGGAAGCCUGAUGCGGCAACGCCGCGUGCGUGAUGACCUCCUUCUGGUGGUAAACCGCUGUCGCCUGUGACGAAGCGGGAGUGACGGUAAUGAGUAAAGAAGCACCGGCUAACUACGUG
rnacentral:rRNA from 1 species